rnacentral:lncRNA from 1 species
UAGGAGACUCAGGUCAUUGACCACCAUCACCCACCGCGGUAGAGGUCGCUUCCGGCGGCGAUGGAACACCAAAAUACAAAAAGACACCAUCACCAGGAUCAUGACGAUGAGCUUAAUCAGAAUUUGAGUUCAAUUUCUACAUAUCAAAGCUCUAAUGUCCAAACAGAGGAGGAAUCAUGAAGAACUCUAGGCUAUUCAAAG